rnacentral:rRNA from 1 species
UACGUAGGGUGCGAGCGUUAAUCGGAAUUACUGGGCGUAAAGGGCGCGCAGGCGGCCUUAGAAGUCAGAUGUGAAAGCCCCGGGCUCAACCUGGGAAUGGCAUUUGAUACUCUGAGGCUGGAGUACGGGAGAGGAGAGUGGAAUUCCCAGUGUAGAGGUGAAAUUCGUAGAUAUUGGGAAGAACACCGGUGGCGAAGGCGGCUCUCUGGACCGUAACUGACGCUGAGGCGCGAAAGCGUGGGGAGCAAACAGG